GCACAGCACGAGUGGCGUUAGCCCUAAUAAAACACAACCUGCAAGUUUAUUAAACUGCUUCAAACACCACUACAAAUUCAAUAGAUACACUGCCCUAUUAGUAUUCUUUAUAUAAUUUCACAUCCAUUCAAUAUAUAAAUAUUUAUUGACAACAAAUAUCUUAAAUAUUUUUAGAAUUUUCGUAUUCGUUUUCCAUUCUAUACAAAAUCUUUUCUGUCACUUCCAACUGCUGUUUCUUCUUGGCAUUUUGUACAGCUAUUUCAUCUUUCAACACUUUUUCAUAUGGAAUAAAAUGCCCCAGUGCUUGCAUGGUUAACCCAAUAGGUGUACAAAUGCCAGCACCGAAGAGAGCGCCUACAAGAAUCCCUCGAAAACCUGAGAAUAGUUUAUAAACAGUUCCUGUGGUUGCUCCAGCAGCAAUGUAAUUCAAUGCAUCUUCCUUAUCUCGACCAAUAGACACAGCAGUGAGUGUCGUACUAUAUAUGCCAGAGUAAAGUCCUGUUCUCCAACCCCAA